rnacentral:rRNA from 1 species
CCUACGGGAGGCAGCAGUGAGGAAUAUUGGUCAAUGGGCGCGAGCCUGAACCAGCCAAGUAGCGUGAAGGAUGACUGCCCUACGGGUGGUAAACUUUUUUUAUAAAGGAAUAAAGUGAGGCACGUGUGACUUUUUGUAUGGACUUUAUGAAGAAGGAUCGGCUAACUUCGUGCCAGCAGCAGCGGUAAUACGGAGGAUCAGAGUGUUAUCCGGAUUUGUUGGGGUUAAAGGGAGCGUAGAUUGGUUGUUAAGUCAGUUGUGAAAGUUUGCGGCUCAACCGGAAAAUUGCAAUUGAUACUGGCAGCCUUGAGGACAGUUGAGGUAGGCGGAAUUCGUGGUGUAGCGGUGAAAUGCGUAGAUAUCACGAAGAACUCCGAUUGCGAAGGCAGCUUACUAGACUGCCACUGACAUUGAUGCUCGAAAGUGUGGGUAUCAAACAGGAUUAGAUACCCCAGUAGUC